rnacentral:piRNA from 2 species
UUAGAUGGUCUUCAGAUAACUGCCCUCCUU